rnacentral:rRNA from 1 species
AUGCACCGUCCUGCCAACCUUCAGUGCUGCAGUCUGCGCACAUGCAGGGAGAACAGCCGCAACGGUCACUGCAUCCGGCCAUACUGCAGCAUGCCUCAUCCUACGAAAGAGCCGCAUUGUCCCCAUAUGGUCAGCCGAGUACUGCAAUGCGGACAGCAUCGAGUUCCAGCUGAACAAGUCCCUGUCCUGCUCUGCCAUCCCCUCAAACACCAUUGCCGCAUUGGCCACAUCAUGGGACUUCCCAUAAAGAUCCACCAAGGCAUUACAAACCGAAACAUUGUGGUCAAGUCCCGACUUCACCACCAUCCCGUGAACAGCAGCCCCGCGCUCAAAAUCCGUGGUCGCGGUGCAGACCGACAGGAUUCCGGUGACAGUGAAAGCGCUGAUCUCCACCAUGCCAUCCUGCCUCAUCCGCAGGAAGCACUCCAUGGCGCGGUCGAAGCAUCCGAGCUUGGCGAACCCAUUGACCAUCGCGUUCCAGACCACGACGUCCCGGAGGGGCAAUCUGUCGAACAGGCGGUGCGCGUAGUCAGCGAGGCCGAACCUGAGGUAGCCGCGGAGCAGGGCGCUGGCGCAGAAGAGGUCGUCGGCGACGUCGCAGCGGAGCGAGAGGGCGUGGAUCGCGAGGAGGUGGGGCGGGGACGGGGCGGAGGAGGCGAGCGGCGGGAAGGAGAAGGAGUCGGGGGAGUGGACGAGGCGGAGGCGGCAGAAGACGCGGAGCGCGAGCGGGUAGGGCAGGGAGAGCGCGGCGUUGAAGCAGGGGAGAGGGGAGGUGGGCGGGAGGAGGUGGUGGACGACGGGGUGGAGGGCCGGGACGCGCGCGUAGAGGGAGACGAGGGUCGUGAGGAUGGCGGGGCUGGAGGCGAGGCGGCCGGAGGUGAGAAGGUGGGCGUGGAGCGGCAGGAGGAGGCGCCGGCUGGGGGCACGCGAGUGGGAGACGAUGGCGCGGAGCGGGACGUAGAGGGCCGCCAUUUUCCUCGGCGGCGGCGUGGACUGGUGGCGCUUUCAGAGUUCUGA